rnacentral:rRNA from 1 species
GCACAAGCGGUGGAGCAUUGUGGUUUAAUUCGACGCAACGCGAAGAACCUUACCUAGGUUUUGACAUCCCGGGGAGUCUCUUGAAAGAGAGAUGUGCCCUUCGGGAGCUUGCACAGGUGCUGCAUGGCUGUCGUCAGCUCGUGUCGUGAGAUGUUCGGUUAAGUCCGCUAACGAGCGCAACCCUCGCUGUGUGUUAUAUGUGUCACACGGGACUGCCGGUCUUAAGCCGGAGGAAGGUGGGGAUGAUGUCAAGUCAGCAUGGCCUUUAUAUCCUGGGCUACACACACGCUACAAUGGCCAGCACAGUAGGUUGCUAAGCCGCGAGGUGGAGCCAAUCCAUAAAGCUGGUCUCAGUUCAGAUUGCAGGCUGCAACCCGCCUGCAUGAAGAUGGAGUUGCUAGUAACCGCAGGUCAGCUAUACUGCGGUGAAUACGUUCCCGGGGCUU